rnacentral:rRNA from 1 species
UACGUAGGUGGCGAGCGUUGUCCGGAUUUAUUGGGUUUAAAGGGUGCGCAGGCGGCUUUGUAAGUUAGAGGUGAAAUUUCGGUGCUCAACAUCGAAACUGCCUCUGAUACUGCAGGGCUAGAGACCAGUUGCAGAAGGCGGAAUGUGUAGUGUAGCGGUGAAAUGCUUAGAUAUUACACAGAACACCGAUUGCGAAGGCAGCUUUCUAAGCUGGAUCUGACGCUGAGGCACGAAAGCGUGGGGAGCGAACAGG